GUUAAAUGAAGAACUGCACAGGGGUCAAAAUUAAAAGAUGCUCCAAAAUAUUGAAAUCUAUGCCACAUUAUUCGUCUGAUCACAAAUAUUCCAAAAGGUAUAGUUUGGACUAUCUAUGACUGAAUGUUAUGGAGUUAUGGGGUAAAAACAACAAGAAUGGUGACGAAGGUCAAUUUCUGUU